GUGUAAGCACUCCAAAGGAAAAAGGGCAGGGGAGGGGAUGGGGAGUGGCCUGGCUGGCAGCGCUGCUGCACCUGGGGUGGUCGGAGUUGGACAGAGUGCUGGAGGAGGUAGGGAGGCCCCAGAGAAAGGGCACCUGAGAGGGCAAAGAGCAAGCGCAAAGCCCCAGGAUUGCAGUUUGGAAUGUGCCAAGGGCAGGAGGAAGUCUGAGGCUGGAGAGGAGGGAGGAAGGAGGUGGACUGGGAAAUGGGCUCAGAGCAGGUGCAGGCCUGGACCACAGGGCGGUGGCAAGGCUCAGACCUGCUGUGCAGGGCUCAGUGUGGGGUCUCGAGGACACAAAGGCUGCACAGCCAGGGGCAAUGCAGAGACUGAGGCUGUAGGAUACUGAGGCUGUCAUCCAGGGUCAAGCCCAAGAGAGAGCAACCUCGGGGCUUGCAAGCAGGCAGAUGGAAGGUAGAAAAGGCAACCCCAUGUCCUCCUGCUCUGUUGUCCGAGCGGGGGGCUUCCAGGUUGAAGAAAAGGAUGUGUGCAUGGCCAGCUGCCUGGGUUUGGUGGUGGUCCCAAAUCUGUGUGUCGGGAGCCCUGUGGGUGUCUGUGGGCCUCUGGCAGUAGCCUGAGUCAGAGAUUGGUGUAUCCCCAUGUGAUGUGGAGGGCUGGUGUCUCUUGGUCCCUGCCAGCCGAGCAAGAGGCUGAUGCAGCGAAUGUUCUGGGCAUGCUAUAUCAUUUCUCUGGGUGUGCAUGAGUGAGCCUGUGUUGGCUCCGUGGGCCUGUAUGUGCCAGGAGCGUGUAGACCUGAAGGUCUGUACAUGAGUCAAGGGUGAGAGGCCUGUGUGUUUCCUUGUGCGUCUGUGGGUUCCUGCUUGUCUGUAGUGGGCAGCAGUGAGGGGUGUCUUUGACUUUGGCCUGUCAUUGUCUGUUUCAUGCUCACUUGACAUUCCACAGCUCAGCUCUAGUUCUUGGAACGAAUGGAAACAGCACCCAGGACCCAGUAGGACUGGCCUGUGCUUCUUGGGUACUUGGGUUCAGGGUCUCCUCCCCAAGGGUCUCUGACAGCUGAGGUAGGGACGACUCACCGUCCUGGUCCCCAAAUGCAGUGCUUUAAAUCAGAGACCCUUUCUUCAGGCCGCAAGGCUGGACCAGGGCUCUCACUACCCGGGUGGGAAGACUGUAUGAUGUUUGGGCCUUGCCAGCCCCAAGGAAGGGUCAGAUCUCUAAACCUGGGGGCCUCCUGGGAAAGCCAGGACUCCAGCACUGUGGAAAGAGCAUGGAGGUAGAAGUCAAAAGGACCUGGGUUCAAAUCCCACUUUUGCCCAGGCAUAGGGGCUCAUGCCUGUAAUCCAAGCACUUUGGAAGGCUGAGGCAGGUGAAUCACUAGAGUCCGGAAAUUUGAGACCAGCAUGAGCAACCUGGAGAAACCUUGUCUCUACUAAAAAAAAAAAAAAAAAAAAAAAAAACCAGCUGCGCAUGGUGGCAUGCAUCUGUAGUCCCAGCUACUCAGGAGACUGAGGUGGGAAGAUCACUUGAGCCUGGAAAGUCAAGGCUGUAGUGAGCUGUGAUUGCACCACUGUACUCCAGCCUCGGCCACAGAAUGAGACCCUGUCUUACAAAAACCAACAAACAAACAAACAAAAAUCUCACUUUGUCAUUUCCUAGUUCAAAAACCUUAGUCAAAUGGCUGCUCCGUUUCCUUAUCUGUAGAGGCGGGACCGGCGUCUUGGGCCUACUGUGGAGAUUAAAUGAGCACUGAGUAUGUGCCCAGCCCUGGGCUAAGAGCUUUACACGAACAACCCCAUGGGCUUCUCACAAUAACUCUCUGGAAUGGGUACAGGCCCCAUUUUGCAGAAGAGGAAACUGAGGCCCAGAGAGGUGGCAUGACUUGCCCAUGGUCACUCAGCUGGGAACUAGUAGAGCCAGGAUUUGAACCAGGCAGUCUGACUUCAAAAGCAGCAGCAUGAGCCACUGCGCCCGGCGGAAGCUGGGGUUUUAACCUGGGUCCAGAGCUGGAGCUGGCCUCUGGGCCUAUUUGACUCUCCUGUGCUCCGACAUCCCAGCAGACCCAAGGAAGGGGCAGUCUGUCCUGCCCCUACCCACCCCUUCUCCCUUUCUACUGCCUACUCUUGGGAGCCUGUAUGAGGGGCUGAGGUGAGCAUGAACAGGUCAGCCUCUGAGACAAAGGAGGCCUGAUUGGCAAGAGAAGUAAGGCCUUUGCUGUCAGCAGGCCUGGGUUUUAGUCCCCACACUGCCCCUCACUGGGCUGUGUGACCCUCGGUCAGAUUCUUCCUUUUUCUCUGAUUGUCAGUUUCUUCAUUUGUCAAAUACCCACCCUCCUUGAGAGUGUCAUUUUAUUCCCAUUUUACAGUUGGCCCAGAGAAGGGAAGCAAGACAGUGGCA
rnacentral:lncRNA from 1 species